rnacentral:rRNA from 1 species
ACAUGCAGUCGAGCGGACAGAUGGGAGCUUGCUCCCUGAUGUUAGCGGCGGACGGGUGAGUAACACGUGGGUAACCUGCCUGUAAGACUGGGAUAACUCCGGGAAACCGGGGCUAAUACCGGAUGGUUGUCUGAACCGCAUGGUUCAGACAUAAAAGGUGGCUUCGGCUACCACUUACAGAUGGACCCGCGGCGCAUUAGCUAGUUGGUGAGGUAACGGCUCACCAAGGCGACGAUGCGUAGCCGACCUGAGAGGGUGAUCGGCCACACUGGGACUGAGACACGGCCCAGACUCCUACGGGAGGCAGCAGUAGGGAAUCUUCCGCAAUGGACGAAAGUCUGACGGAGCAACGCCGCGUGAGUGAUGAAGGUUUUCGGAUCGUAAAGCUCUGUUGUUAGGGAAGAACAAGUGCCGUUCAAAUAGGGCGGCACCUUGACGGUACCUAACCAGAAAGCCACGGCUAACUACGUGCCAGCAGCCGCGGUAAUACGUAGGUGGCAAGCGUUGUCCGGAAUUAUUGGGCGUAAAGGGCUCGCAGGCGGUUUCUUAAGUCUGAUGUGAAAGCCCCCGGCUCAACCGGGGAGGGUCAUUGGAAACUGGGGAACUUGAGUGCAGAAGAGGAGAGUGGAAUUCCACGUGUAGCGGUGAAAUGCGUAGAGAUGUGGAGGAACACCAGUGGCGAAGGCGACUCUCUGGUCUGUAACUGACGCUGAGGAGCGAAAGCGUGGGGAGCGAACAGGAUUAGAUACCCUGGUAGUCCACGCCGUAAACGAUGAGUGCUAAGUGUUAGGGGGUUUCCGCCCCUUAGUGCUGCAGCUAACGCAUUAAGCACUCCGCCUGGGGAGUACGGUCGCAAGACUGAAACUCAAAGGAAUUGACGGGGGCCCGCACAAGCGGUGGAGCAUGUGGUUUAAUUCGAAGCAACGCGAAGAACCUUACCAGGUCUUGACAUCCUCUGACAAUCCUAGAGAUAGGACGUCCCCUUUCGGGGGCAGAGUGACAGGUGGUGCAUGGUUGUCGUCAGCUCGUGCCCUGAGAAGUUGGGGUUAUCCGCAACCAACCGCAACCUUUGAUCUUAGUUGCCACAUUCCGU